rnacentral:rRNA from 1 species
UACAGAGGUCUCAAGCGUUGUUCGGAUUCAUUGGGCGUAAAGGGUGCGUAGGCGGCGCGGUAAGUCGGGUGUGAAAUCUCGGGGCUUAACUCCGAAACUGCAUUCGAUACUGCCGUGCUUGAGGACUGGAGAGGAGACUGGAAUUUACGGUGUAGCGGUGAAAUGCGUAGAUAUCGUAAGGAAGGCCGGUGGCGAAGGCGAGCCUCUGGACAGUUACUGACGCUGAUGCACGAAGGCCAGGGGAGCAAACGGG